rnacentral:rRNA from 1 species
AACGAACGCUGGCGGCGUGGAUAAGACAUGCAAGUCGAACGGGACAUUUUUAGUAGUAAUAUUAGAGAUGUUCAGUGGCGAACGGGUGCGUAACACGUGGAUACAUUCCGGAAAGCGGGGGAUAGCCCAGGGAAACUUGGAUUAAUACCGCAUGUGGUCGCAAGACUAAAGACGGGGAUCGAAAGACCUGUCACUUUCCGAUUGGUCCGCGGCAUAUCAGCUAGUUGGCGGGGUAAAAGCCCACCAAGGCGACGACGGGUAGCUGGCUUUGGAGGACGAACAGCCACACUGGAACUGAGACACGGUCCAGACACCUACGGGUGGCAGAAGUCGAGAAUCUUUCACAAUGGGGGCAACCCUGAUGGAGCGACGCCGCGUGGAGGAUAAGGUCUUCGGAUUGUAAACUCCUGUCAUGCGAGAACAAGGUUGCAGGGCUAAUACCCGGGCAAAUUGAUGGUACCGCAAGAGGAAGAGACGGCUAACUCUGUGCCAGCCGCCGCCGUAAUAC